CGGAGGGUGCAAGCGUUAUCCGGAUUCACUGGGUUUAAAGGGUGCGUAGGCGGGCUUGUAAGUCCGUGGUGAAAUCUCUGAGCUUAACUCGGAAACUGCCAUGGAUACUAUGGGUCUUGAAUACUCGGGAGGUGAGCGGAAUAUGUCAUGUAGCGGUGAAAUGCUUAGAUAUGACAUAGAACACCAAUUGCGAAGGCAGCUUGCUACAGAGUUAUUGACGCUGAGGCACGAAAGCGUGGGGAUCAAACAGGAUU
rnacentral:rRNA from 1 species